CGCGCGCUGAAGUUUAAUUCAUUGACUGACAUGUAGGAGAAAUCAAUCCUCGUCCACGUUUGUAAGAGCUCUGUAUCUUCUUCCUCUAGUACAAGGAAUAGGUGGAAGAUUCGAUAAUGUCACCAAAUUGCCAACUUUAACAUCGUCAGAAGACUGCUUGCAAGAGAAGAUACACAAAUAACUCUUUUUAGAUCCCUUUGACGAUCCAAUAAUAUUCUUUCUUGGCUCAUAAUCAA
rnacentral:lncRNA from 1 species